GCAGUAUCCCGGUCUGUCGCUGGCGUCGCUCUGAGUGCGCGAGAGGAAAGUCCGGGCAGCACAGAGCACUCCGCUCCCGAAAAUAGGAGCUGUCGGUGACGACAGGUGUUGGCAGAAGAGAACGACCGCCUGCCCCCACGGGCCGGUAAGGGUGAGAAGGUGGUGUAAGAGACCACCGGUUGGCCGGGUGAUCGGCCAAGCCGUGCCUUCCGGAGGCUGCAAGUUCAUGUAAACCGCAGUUUGAGGGUUGCUCGCCCGACCUCCCUUGCGGAGACUGCGGAGGGUAGAAUGCUAAAGCCUCGGGGCAACUCGUGGAUUAGAUAAAUGACAGACAGCCGCCUUGGCGGCCAACAGAACCCGGCUUACGGGGAUGCUGCUUUU
rfam:Prevotella buccae ATCC 33574 genomic scaffold SCAFFOLD1, whole genome shotgun sequence.